AGAGUUUGAUCCUGGCUCAGGACGAACGUUGGCGGCGUGCUUAACACAUGCAAGUCGAGCGGGGCUUAGUGAAAAGUUUACUUUUUACUGAGUCUAGCGGCGGACGGGUGAGUAACGCGUGGAUAAUCUGCCUGUAAGACAGGGAUAACGCCGGGAAACCGGUGCUAAUACCGGAUACGUUGAUUUAAAGAGAAAAGGUGGCCUCUUUACAAUGCUACCACUUACAGAUGAAUCCGCGUCCCAUUAGCCAGUUGGUGGGGUAAUGGCCUACCAAGGCGACGAUGGGUAGCUGGUCUGAGAGGAUGAUCAGCCACACUGGAACUGAGACACGGUCCAGACUCCUACGGGAGGCAGCAGUGGGGAAUUUUGCGCAAUGGGCGAAAGCCUGACGCAGCAACGCCGCGUGAGUGAUGAAGGCCUUCGGGUCGUAAAAUUUCCUGUAAAUAAUGGGAUGGUUUGACGGUACAAUAAGAGGAAGCCACGGCUAACUACGUGCCAGCAGCCGCGGUAAUACGUAGGUGGCAAACGUUGUCCGGAAUUACUGGGCGUAAAGGGCGAGUAGGUGGUUUAUUAAGUCAGAAGUGAAAACUCCAGGCUCAACUUGGAGACUGCUUCUGAAACUGGUAGACUUGAGUGCAAGAGAGGGAAGUGGAAUUCCUAGUGUAGCGGUGAAAUGCGUAGAUAUUAGGAGGAACACCAGUGGCGAAGGCGACUUCCUGGCUUGUAACUGACACUGAGGCGCGAAAGCGUGGGGAUCAAACAGGAUUAGAUACCCUGGUAGUCCACGCCGUAAACGAUGAGUGCUAGGUGUCGGGGGUAUCGACCCCCUCGGUGCCACAGCUAACGCAAUAAGCACUCCGCCUGGGGAGUACGGUCGCAAGACUGAAACUCAAAGGAAUUGACGGGGGCCCGCACAAGCGGUGGAGUAUGUGGUUUAAUUCGACGCAACGCGAAGAACCUUACCAAGGCUUGACAUCCUGUGACAGCUAUAGAAAUAUAGACUUCUUAGUUUACUAAGACACAGAGACAGGUGGUGCAUGGUUGUCGUCAGCUCGUGUCGUGAGAUGUUGGGUUAAGUCCCGCAACGAGCGCAACCCCUACAGCCAGUUGCCAGCACAUAAAGGUGGGAACUCUGGCAGAACUGCCGUUGACAAAACGGAGGAAGGUGGGGAUGACGUCAAAUCAUCAUGCCCCUUAUGUCUUGGGCUACACACGUACUACAAUGCCCGGUACAGCGAGUUGCAAAGCCGCGAGGCAGAGCUAAUCUCUUAAAACCGGGCCAAGUUCAGAUCGGAGGCUGCAAUUCGCCCCACAUGAAGUUGGAAUCGCUAGUAAACGCAGAUCAUCAUGCUGCGUUGAAUACGUUCUCGGGCCUUGUACACACCGCCCGUCACACCAUGGGAGCCAGUAACACCCGAAGCCGGUGAGCUAACUUAACGGAGGCAGCUGUCGAAGGUGGGAUUGGUGACUGGGGUGAAGUCGUAACAAGGUAACC
rnacentral:rRNA from 1 species